rnacentral:rRNA from 1 species
GGCUUAUUGAUGUUAAUUUUAAGUCAAUCUGCCCAAUGAUUAAUAAUUUAAUGGCUGCAGUAUAACUGACUGUACAAAGGUAGCAUAAUCAAUUGUUUUUUAAUUAAGAACUGGAAUGAAAGAAUUAAUGAGAUAUAUACUGUCUCAUAUAUAUUUAAUUAAUUUAAAUUUUUAGUAAAAAUGCUUAAAUAAGUUUAUGGGACGAUAAGACCCUAUAGAAUUUUAUAUUAAUUUGUAGAUUAGUUGAUAUUUUAUUGAUUAAUAUUUAGUUGGGAGGAUUGAUAAAUUGAAUGAACUUUAUCUUUAAUUUAAACUUUGAUAUAAGAAUUAGUGAUGAUCUUGUAUUAUUGAUUAUAAGAAUAAAUUACCUUAGGGAUAACAGCGUAAUAUCUUUUUAAAGAUCGUAUUAAUAAAGAUGAUUGCGACCUCGAUGUUGAAUUAAGAUAAAUUUUAAAUGAAGAAGUUUAAUAAUUAAGUCUGUUCGACUUUUAAAAUCUUACAUGAUUUGAGUUCAAAUCGACGUGAGU